rnacentral:lncRNA from 1 species
GUCCGGCCUGUUUUUCUUUCGUAACAAAAAGGUAGGUUUGGUCCCCGCAUCCCAGUCUGGGCUGCGGAGAUUGCCCCUUACCUCUGCUGGGCCGGGCCUGAGAGAAUGAGGGAAUAUUGUCUUGGGGAGGAGAGCGGGACCACCACGUGGGCGCCGCAGACGCACCCGCACCUCCUGACCCCCAAAGUGAGAAAAAUAAUCACAAUUACAAACCCCCCCCCCCCCAAAACACAAAAAUAAAACCCGUAGUCUUUCCCUCUGCGUACCACCGCGUUGGGCUCUGGGCUUCAGAGCGUCAGGCCUGGUGUGGGGGAAGGGGAGAUUGGAGUGGGGGAUGAGAGACAGCUCAGUCCCACCCCCACUCUUCCCCUUUCUUCCAAACCCUCCCCCACCCGGCUCAGCAAGGAGGGGCGGGGGCGCUAGGCCGAGAGGAGCGGCCCAGGCCCACUCCUUCUGUUUGAGGAGGGGGCGGCGGCUCGCGCACCUCCUCCCGCCCACAUUUGCCCUCCGCCGCCAAUCACCCUUAUUAAUUCGCGCUGGGAAAGGAUCACACACUGGAAGUUCGUCAACGGAUGCCUGGAAAAGUCUGGAGGACACGGAUGUGGACAGUAAGGGAGAAGGGUUGGGACUUUCGGGGUGGGGUGGGUGCUGGGCGCUAGUCAUGGCCACCUGAGCUGCGCUCUUGCCCAUUUCCAUCUUCUCAGACCAGUGUGCCCCUCCCCUCCCCUAACGACCCCUCUCCACUUGUGAGCUGACCCACACCUAUCCAGGCUGGACCUUGGCUGAGGCACGGCUCCCAAACUCUGGGGGGAGACAAGUCCUCCCCAGCCCAAAUUCUGGGUGGAACGUGCCUCAGAACUAGUAGGAGGGGCAAGCUCAGCCCCACUCCCAAGCACCAGCCAACCCAAAGGAACGCUGGCUGCCUCAGUUGCUGUCCACAGGAAAGGAGGGGCGCGGAUAGUGGUUCUUUGGCUGUCUGAGGCACAGGAGGAUCCAGAUGGAGGCACUGUUCCUGGAAACACCUUAAUGAACCUUCUAGAGCUUUCGGAGGACAAGGGGAGCAGCCGUGAUCUGAGGCCCUGAGUCUUGGGUAACACAAUAAUAAUGAUGAGGAAAUUGAGGCACAGCAAGAGUGAGUAACUUGCUAAAAGCUAGAAUUGGAACUCAGGCCAGUUUGUCCUCUUAACUCCAUGGAGUUGUGUUACCUGGCGAAGUACCACUCUGCAAGGGCAAGAGGAAGUGCUGAGCAGGCAGAGAGGACCCCAGGAGAGGAAUGCCCUCUAUGGAAAUGGUGGUAAGAUGUGUAGUCUGGGGCUCCAUUUGGGGAACUGCUGAUCCUCAGGCAUCCAGACAGUUGUGGGAAAGAUACCUUUCAUCCUCUCCGUCCUCGAGAACUUCAGCAAUUUGUGGAUUCUAAGACAUCCUCCCCUGACUUCCUUGUCCGGGACUGCAACCACCUGGACCACGUGCUCAGCUGCAUUGCCCCUCUCAGAUGCUCAGAUGGGUUGGCUGCACGAGGGCAGGGAUGGGGCCUUUAUGCCUCGGUGAAGGCGGUGUCCAGCACAGGCCAGGCACACCAUAAGUGCUCAGUAUGCAGGCACUGAAUGAAUGAAAGAGAAUGAGUGAAAUGGUGACCUCUGCGUACAUUUAUGAGAAAUCUCAGGACAGGACUGAUACUGGAGGCCAUAGGGUGACAUUCCAGAGGUAGGCUCCUGCCAAAGGGCCCCUUCUCCCUCCCUCCCCUCCUGCUACUCCUCUGGAAUGAAAGGCCUAAAUGGUAGCAUCUCCCUAGAUCCUGGCCCUUUCUGUGGCGCAGCCAGGUACAAUGGAAAGCACACCAGCUUGGGAGCCAGGCAGAUCUGCAUUCUAAUCCUGCCUCCACACCUUACUGACUUGGGUGAAUAAAACUUCGCUGUGCCUCAGUUUCCUCAUCUGUGAAAUGGGCAUAAUAACCCCAACCUCACAGGGGGUUAAGAUUCAGUAAAUUACUCCAAGUAACUGGUGCCUAGUAGAUGUUUCACGUAUGUUAGCUUCCCUCCCUCUUUCUGUUGGUUCCUUUGGCUCAUCACAAGGAUAUGCCUACCCCCAUCACUUAAUCUACCUGGAGGGUACCAGAGCCCACUUGAUUAAAAAGCUUUUGUUUCCAGAGGACCCAGUAGUGGCUGAAGGUGUCACUCCCAGGACAGAAAGCUCCUGCAGGGCAGAGACCCUGCCUUCCUCAGCUCCUCAUCCUCACAGCAUCUGGCACUGCACCCUGCAUACCGAGGUGCUCAGGGCGGCUUUCAUUCUCCAGCAUCCCGAAGUCACUCUCAGCUCCUCCUUGGUACAGGGCCACUUGUGAGGGUCUGCCCCGCAGCAACACGUGGAAUACCUUCUCACGGAGGACCUCAGCUGAUCCUCACUUCCCGGUCAGGUGGGGCAAGUAUUGCUGUCCCCAUUUCACAGAUGAAACCGAUGCUCGGAGCAGCUCAGGGCCUUGCCCAACAUUGCACAACCAGUUAAGUGGCAAAGCUGGCAUUGGAACCCCAGCCUCUGGACUCGGAGAUUCUCUGAGUUUUUCCCGAGCAGCACAUCUGUCUUUGAAUGGGUGAAGAGGAGAGAGGGACUGUCAACACUGGCUGUCGCACCGGCCUGGGGGGUCUCUGGCCAUGUGUGGGGGUGAAGCCUGGAUCUCUGUAGGGGGUAAUACAGAGACAGGAGUCAGGACAUGGAGACAUGGAGAGAACUAAGGCAACCGGCCCCAUGGGAAGUAGGCUGUGGGAAUUGUCUGCAAAAGCGUGAAGGGCUUCAGACUAAUUCUGUGCGACUUUUGAGGCCAGAAUGCCGAGAACCAAAUGGAAGUCAGAGGAAUAUAGAUUUAGGUUCAACAGAAGGAAGACAUUUUUAGUAGAGUUUUCCAAAGCAGCACAUUCUCCACGCAUCUCAGGCACCAACUCCUGCUGCCUCGUACAGAGGGAUUUUUCACUCUUGUUUCCUCUGCUGGAAUAAGCAUUGGGGGGGCAGGUUCACCUCUCUUUGAGCUUCACUUCCUCACCGUGUGUGUGUGUGAGUGUGUGUGUGUGUGUGUGUGUGUGUGUACAAUCUGUCCUCAAUAAGUGUUUGGGAGUCCCGGUCACUGAGGCGCUCCAGCCGAGGCAAGGGAUGUUCUAAGAUGUGGUUGGGAGCCUGAGCUCUGGAGCGGAUGCCAGUAAGUUUGAAUCCCAGUUCUGCUGCUAGGCGAGGUGGCUUAGAAUUUCUGAGCCUCAUUUUUCUCAUCUGUAAAAUGGAGUUAAUAGUCCUUACCACAUAAAAUUGUUGUGAGGACCAAAUGACGCACCUUGUGUGACUAGCAGAGUGCCCAGCACACGGAAAGCUAAUAAUGCAGCUUUUUUGAUGACAUAUGUGGUUGAGGGGCUGUGUCAUGGGCUAGAGAAAUGGGGUAGGUGCCCACUAAUGUCCCAAUUCUGACAGCACGUGAGUCUUUUCCGUGAGCAUCAGGAAAGGAGCUGAGUAGAAACCAGGAAGCAGAUAGACUCAACGGAGGAAAACUGGGUUCAAAAUAGACAGGACUCCCAUUCAGAGUCCCUAGGUUCUUGAGACUGUCCCGUGGACUUUUCCUACCUUGCUCUGCCUGUCCUCCUCUUAGGCAAGCCCCCCACACCUAAGGUUCGGACCUGGGCAUCAUUAACCCCAGAAAAGGUGCGAGAGUCCCCAUCAGCGUGGCCUGCCCUGAAAGCCUCGCCUCAGCCAAGAACAGGGCCCAAACGUUCUGAUUUGGCUGUCACCUGCCCUAACCACAAGCCCUUUGCUGGCCCAAGCCUUUAAACCAGCCAGAUGACGUGGCACCUCCUGGAAGGUGGCGGUGGCUCCUGCAUGCCAGACACCCCGGGCUAGGAAAGGCCCUCGGCCACCUCGGGAGCAGCCCUCAGCCUCUAGCACUGCUGCUCCUCAAAGUUUCAUAGUCCGUUUUAGAGAUGGAAGGCACCUCAGGGGUCCCCAGAGCCCCUGGGUCUCAAAUUCUGGGCUCAAGAAGGUCUGGAGUGGGCCUGGAAAUCUGCAUAUUAAUAAGCUGGCCCCCUCUACUGCCAUGAGACACUGAUUUGGCCCAGCUCCCUUGCCCUCGGGGAGAAGCUGAGCCUGAGAGGGGACAAGACGGCCCAGGAUGACAUACUGGAACUGGACGAAAGCCCAGCUCUCUGGACCCUGGUACAGGGUGUUUUCCAGCACGGCUGCCUGUCAGGGCUCACUCCCCCGGAGAAGGGGAGGGCAGUUCACUUGGAGGUCUUCCUGAGUCUGGUCCCCAGGCCUCCUUCAGAGGUCGUGUCAGUUACACAAGAACCAGUCACCCUCCUGGAAACGGCCGCUCAAAACAGCGAGAUGAGGAGUCUCGGGCCUGCCGGGGUCUCCUCAAGGCCAAGGCAGGGGAGCGAGUCGGUGUUUGGGGCUGGAUCCAUGGAGGGUCAUGCAGGCACACAUUCCAAAAUAGCCAUUACACUGGCGGAAAAUUUUGGUCUGAUUUGGAAUUACCUCUCUAUUCACCAGCACCAGCACCAGCAUUGGCACCAGCACUGGGCACAUGGGACCGAAUGAUGGCGUGUUGAAUAAAUGGAUGAUCCUUAAUGUUGGUUGGACUCAGUCAUCUCCAAGGCUACAUGCCCCUCCCCUCAGUGGCAAGAGGUGUGGGGACUCAGCGAAGCCUGGAGAACGCCAAACAGUGGGCGCUCAGAACAGAGGAUGGCCAGGGAGGUGCAGCCGAGAGGAGGGAGGGGGUGAAGAAGGCAGCCGUGAAUCAGACACCUCCCCAUUCCCACCCAAGGGGCCAACUCCCAUCAGGUCUCAGCCCCAGAGGUUCCAUGAACAGAAUGGGUCUCCGUGACGGUGCGCGUAAAGUGGAGAUGUUGCUUUUGUGAGCAUGUGACGAGUGUGUAACUGAAACUCUGUAUGUGUGACUCUUUGUGGCUUGGGUGUGGCUCUGUGCGUGGUGUGGGAGCUGUGUGGUUGUGGGCUGCAUGUGACUGUCCGUGUGGCUGUGUGUUUGUGUCACUGUGUGCGUAGAAAUGGGAGUUGCCUGUGCGAUGUCGUGCGUGGCUCACGGAGGCUGGUUUUGAGAGUGGCUGGGUGUGGAGAGUGCACUGGUUUUGAGAGAGCAUGUGGCCAUCUGUGUGGCUGUGUGUGGCUCUGCGUGAUCUGUGUGCACCUCUGGGUGGAAACAGCUGUCAUGGAUGCGUGUGACUCUGUGGGACUCUGCGAUGUUGUCUCUGAGUGUGCCGGCGGGUCUGACUGUUAUUGUGGGCAUCUAUGCAACUUCCUGGUGGGUUACUGGCAUUGCAUGUUGUGUGUGUAGCUAGGUGUUAUGCCCUCAGCAGUGUGUGUCACUGUGUGUCCCUCAGGGACUUGGUUGUGUCACCUUGUGUGACUGUGACUGUGUGUGAGACAGCAUGCCCCUCAAACAACCUUCUUUGGGUUCUUUGAUGUGGCUGAGUUUCUAGGGGCCGCAGGACGCCUGCCUCACUCUUGAGGACUUCAAAAGAUGGCGGCCCUUUCUGCCCAGCGAGGGAAAAACCCAUUUCCCCUCACCCUGCCCCUCUCCUCCCGCCUGGAGGAGAAGCCUGUUUGUUUUCCUAUUUUUACUGCCUUGGAUGAGUUCAUGGCCGCAACUGACUCACCACUCUUUCCGAGAGACUUGGGGAAGGAAAUCGGGGUUGCUUGCUUGGGGCCUCUGCCCACUAGCCCAGGAUUCCAGAGCAGGGCCAAGGAAGACAUCUAGGUCCACUGAGGGCUGUGUGAGCACCUCGAGCCAUUCACCCUCCCCGAGCCUGGAAGGUCAGCGAGUCUUUAGAGGUGACCGUCCAGGCCCCAUCUCCUACCCCAAAUGAGAGGCUCUCUCCUCAUCUAAGAUGCCUCCAGUCACAAGGUCAAUUGAAAGGGAGGGGGCAGAGACACCAGCUUCUCUGUCCCUCUGUCCCUAAGCCCUGGGGACAGGAGGCUGAGCACUAGCUGGUCUGGACUCAGGGGAUUAACUGUGGCACUUUCUGGAUCUUGAUGCCCCCUGGUCCCCAGACUCCUCUGCACAUCUGGACACAGGCUCCAGGGAACAUUCCAGAAGACCUGCCUUCAUUUACUGUCUCACGUUGAGAAGGAUUCUGGGGAGACUUUGGGAGACCCCCAAGGAAAUGACUAUUGUGGAAGAACUGCCUUGUUUUCCCUUUGGGGGGCCCUUUGUCCCCAGCCUGGUGUAGGGGUGUCUCUGUGUCAGGGGCUCUGUGAGGAGGGUAGCCCCUGACCAGGGUCACAUCGACACCUAGACAGACAUCUCAGGUCUGGAGAAAUUAAGGGAAGAAGGAAGGGAUUGAGGUGGUGGAGCAAGUGGACCAGCAGGUGACCUUUGCCCUCUGCCCUCCCCUCAAACCCUGCAGGAGCCCCUGGCUGCUCCAGCAAGGGGCGGGGGUGGGGGGACUCCAUCUGGGUGGGGCCGGUGGAAUCUGGCGGACCUCCUGGGGGCUGCCCUGGGGAUGGACGCCCAGCAGCGUUGGGAACAGACUGAGUCAGAUCCGGAGAGCGGCACAGGGCGGCCCAGCUGAGAUCACGGCCUGGUGGCUGGAGGUGGCCUCCCAGCUCGAGUCCUCCACCCCCAGCUGGUGUCCAUCCAGAGAGCCCUCCGACACGCACCAGGCGCCUUCCCGGCGUCAGUGUAGCACUCCUGGGACGCAAGAUGCUCAGAGCCAAGACCAGGCCGUGACUGGGCUCCAAUCUCCACCCUUCCCGUGUGCCCAAAUUGACGGAGGCGUGACCCUGCCCUCACGGAGCCCCCAGUCUGAGAGAAGAUGAGAAGAUGGAGACGCACUUAAAGAACACAAAGAUGAAGGGGUCUGCCCAGUGGCAUAGCAGUAAAGUUCACGUACUCUGCUUUGGCGGCCCAGGGUUCGUGGGUUCGGAUCCCGGGCAUGGACCUAGCACUGCUGGUCAAGCCACACUGUAGAGGCAUCCCACAUGAAACAGAGGAAGACUGGCACAGAUGUUAGCUCAGGGCCAUUCUUCCUCACCAAAAAAACCCUCAAACCCCCCACAAAGAUGAAGGUCAAAAGGAAACCCCCCAGUGGACCAGGUCAGGGAGAGACGCACUGUGCCCAAGAGCCUAGGGCAGGCACUGUCCUGACACGAAGCGGCCAUGGGUGCCCGUGUGGGUCAGCUCGCUCGUGGCUCCUUCGUCCAGAAGCCCGGCCUCUGACCCCCUUGUACCCACAGUGCACUGAGGCUGGGAGUUGUGCAAGGGUCAGCAGGCAGGGUGGCGGGCUGGCUGGGGAGGGGAGAUUCCUGUCUCCUGCCCCAGCUCCCUGAGGCCUUCCCUCCCGCAGCCUUGGCCUCGGUGCGCAGCAAGCUGUUGGAGCUUGUUUGGCCUAAGGGUUCGCACCCUGCCUCCUCCCCCUCGCCUUCCUGCUCAAGAACAGCAGCCAGAGGCCUGAGACGGAGGAAAGCCAGGGGCUGGUGGUGGGCCGGGGCACUGCUGAG